rnacentral:rRNA from 1 species
AAUUUUGGACAAUGGGGGCAACCCUGAUCCAGCCAUCCCGCGUGCGCGAUGAAGGCCUUCCGGUUGUAAAGCACUUUUGGCAGGGAAGAAAAGGCUCUGGCUAAUACCUGGAGCUUCCGACGGUACCUGUAGAAUAAGCACCGGCCAACUACCUGUCAGCAGCCGCGGUAAUACGUACGGUGCAAGCGUUAAUCGGAAUUACUUGGCGUAAAGCGUGCGCAGGCGGUUCGGCAAGAAGGAUGUGAAAUCCCAGGGCUUAAACUUGGAACUGCAUUCUUAACUGCCGGGCUGGAGUAUGUCAGAGGGGGGUAGAAUUCCGCGUGUAGCAGUGAAAUGCGUAGAGAUGCGGAGGAAUACCGAUGGCGAAGGCAGCCCCCUGGGAUAAUACUGACGCUCAUGCACGAAAGCGUGGGGAGCAAAC